rnacentral:rRNA from 1 species
AGUGAACGCUGGCGGUAGGCCUAACACAUGCAAGUCGAACGGCAGCACAGUAAGAGCUUGCUCUUACGGGUGGCGAGUGGCGGACGGGUGAGGAAUACAUCGGAAUCUACUUUUUCGUGGGGGAUAACGUAGGGAAACUUACGCUAAUACUGCAUACGACCUACGGGUGAAAGCAGGGGAUCUUCGGACCUUGCGCGAUUGAAUGAGCCGAUGUCGGAUUAGCUAGUUGGCGGGGGAAAGGCCCACCAGGGCGACGAUCGGUAGCUGGUGUGAGAGGAUGGUCAGCCGCACUAGAAGUGAAACGCGAUCAUGGCUCCUACGGGAGGCGGCAGUGGUGAAUAUUCGACAUCGGGGGGGAGCCUGUUCCAUCCGUACCGAGUGGGUGACGGAGGCGUUCGGUUUGUAAUGCCCUUUUGUGGGUAGAGAACAGCUGAAGCUUGAUACCCAGCUGUUGUGACGGUACCCAAUGAAUAAGCACCGGCUAACUUCGUG